rnacentral:lncRNA from 1 species
CAUAACAAUUCUCAUACAGCUUCCUCUUCUAAAAAUAAGUUUCUACCUACCUCGAUCAAGUCUAAGAUUCAAACUUGAAACCUAGAGUUGCUCCUAGAUUCAUUUGCACUUGUAACCACUAUUGAGAGUUAGGACACAUAAGAUCCAAGUGUCCUAAACUCUUAGUAGGAACAAUGAGGCAAAACAUAGGGUUCCUCAACAUUAGUUUCAAAAUUUGAAAUCUAGAAUAGCUCCUAUAUUCAUUCCCAUUUGUCACAAUUGUGGUGAGUUAGGUCACAUUAGACCUCGAUGCCAUAAAUCCUUAAGUAGGAACAACAAACAAGGUCCUCUCCACUUAUGUUAGAUUCUUGACUAACCAAGUGAGUCACUUAAUUGAUACGAUGAGUUAUUUGACUAAGAUUACAUCUUCUUCUAAGAAUAUUUGGUAAAAAGGAAUGAUCU